GAUGAACGUUGGCGGUGUGCCUAAUACAUGCAAGUCGAACGGUGGUUAUUUUGUAGUAAUACGAAGUGAUCAUAGUGGCGAACGGGUGAGUAACGCGUUGGUGAUCUGCCUCGAAGUGUGGGAUAACAGUUCGAAAGAACUGCUAAUACCGCAUAAUAUCCAAGAGAUUAGACGCUUUUGGAUUAAAGGAGAAAUUCGCUUCGGGAGGGGCCCGCGUCCCAUCAGCUAGUUGGUAAGGUAAUGGCUUACCAAGGCGAUGACGGGUAGGGGACCUGAGAGGGUGGCCCCCCACAAUGGAACUGAAACACGGUCCAUACACCUACGGGUGGCAGCAGUAGGGAAUAUUAGUAAUGGGCGAAAGCCUGAACUAGCAACGCCGCGUGUGCGAAGAAGGCCUUCGGGUUGUAAAGCACUUUUUGUAGAGGAUGAGGAAGGACGGUACUCUCAGAAUAAGUCUCGGCUAACUAACGUG
rnacentral:rRNA from 1 species